rnacentral:rRNA from 1 species
GAUGAACGCUGGCGGCGUGCCUAAUACAUGCAAGUCGAACGAAGAUCUAGCUUGCUAGAUCUUAGUGGCGAACGGGUGAGUAAUACAUAAAUAAUCUGCCCAUAUGACUGGGAUAACUAUUGGAAACGAUAGCUAAUACCGGAUAGGUUAAUCGGAGGCAUCUCUGAUGAAUUAAAGUAGGAUUUCUACACAAAUGGAUGAGUUUAUGGCGCAUUAGUUAGUUGGUGGGGUAACGGCCUACCAAGACGAUGAUGCGUAGCCGACCUGAGAGGGUGACCGGCCACACUGGGACUGAGACACGGCCCAGACUCCUACGGGAGGCAGCAGUAGGGAAUUUUCGGCAAUGGGCGCAAGCCUGACCGAGCAACGCCGCGUGAGUGAUUAAGGCCUUCGGGUUGUAAAGCUCUGUUGUAAGGGGAGAACAUUCAGGAUAGGAAAUGAUCUUGAACUGACGGUACCUUACCAGAAAGCCACGGCUAACUACGUGCCAGCCGCCGCCGUAAGAC